UACGUAGGGGGCGAGCGUUGUCCGGAUUUACUGGGCGUAAAGAGCGUGUAGGCGGCCAAGCAGGUCCGUUGUGAAAACUGGAGGCUCAACCUCCAGACGUCGACGGAAACCGCGUGGCUAGAGUCCGGAAGAGGAGAGUGGAAUUCCUGGUGUAGCGGUGAAAUGCGCAGAUAUCAGGAAGAACACCAAUGGCGAAGGCAGCUCUCUGGGACGGUACUGACGCUGAGACGCGAAAGCGUGGGGAGCGAACAGG
rnacentral:rRNA from 1 species